AUUGAACGCUGGCGGCAGGCUUAACACAUGCAAGUCGAACGAGUAGCGGACGGGUGAGUAAUGCAUGGGAAUCUAGCUUAUGGAGGGAGAUAACUACGGGAAACUGUAGCUAAUCCCGCUUACCAUAGGAUGAGCCCAAGUGGGAUUAGGUAGGUGGUGAGGUAAAGGCUCACCAAGCCGACGAUCUCUAGCUGGUCUGAGAGGAGGAUCAGCAACACUGGGACUGAGACACGGCCCAGACUCCUACGGGAGGCAGCAUUGGGGAAUAUGGCACAAUGGGCGCAAGCCUGAUGCAGCCAUGCCGCGUGUAUGAAGAAGGCCUUAGGGUUGUAAAGUACUGUCAGCGGGGAGGCGUUACCCGCAGAAGAAGCACCGGCUAACUCCGUGCCAGCAGCCGCGGUAAUUC
rnacentral:rRNA from 1 species